rnacentral:rRNA from 1 species
AAUCCAUAGGUUAAUGAGGCGAACCGGGGGAACUGAAACAUCUAAGUACCCCGAGGAAAAGAAAUCAACCGAGAUUCCCCCAGUAGCGGCGAGCGAACGGGGAGGAGCCCAGAGCCUGAAUCAGCAUGUGUGUUAGUGGAAGCGUCUGGAAAGGCGCGCGAUACAGGGUGACAGCCCCGUACACAAAAGCGCAUGUGCUGUGAGCUCGAUGAGUAGGGCGGGACACGUGGUAUCCUGUCUGAAUAUGGGGGGACCAUCCUCCAAGGCUAAAUACUCCUGACUGACCGAUAGUGAACCAGUACCGUGAGGGAAAGGCGAAAAGAACCCCGGCGAGGGGAGUGAAAAAGAACCUGAAACCGUGUACGUACAAGCAGUGGGAGCCCCACCACCAAAGCGUUUCGCUUUGUGUGGUGCACAAAGAAGCGUAACGACAGCACUGAAUGACGGUUAACGGAGCGCAAGCGACGUUCAACAUACAAAGUCAAGCAGUGGAGCGCUUUGGGGUGGGGUGACUGCGUACCUUUUGUAUAAUGGGUCAGCGACUUAUAUUCUGUAGCAAGGUUAACCGAAUAGGGGAGCCGGAGGGAAACCGAGUCUUAACCGGGCGUUAAGUUGCAGGGUAUAGACCCGAAACCCGGUGAUCUAGCCAUGGGCAGGUUGAAGGUUGGGUAACACUAACUGGAGGACCGAACCGACUAAUGUUGAAAAAUUAGCGGAUGACCUGUGGCUGGGGGUGAAAGGCCAAUCAAACCGGGAGAUAGCUGGUUCUCCCCGAAAGCUAUUUAGGUAGCGCCUCGUGAAUUCAUCUCCGGGGGUAGAGCACUGUUUCGGCUAGGGGGCCAUCCCGGCUUACCAACCCGAUGCAAACUGCGAAUACCGGAGAAUGUUAUCACGGGAGACACACGGCGGGUGCUAACGUCCGUCGUGAAGAGGGAAACAACCCAGACCGCCAGCUAAGGUCCCAAAGUCAUGGUUAAGUGGGAAACGAUGUGGGAAGGCCCAGACAGCCAGGAUGUUGGCUUAGAAGCAGCCAUCAUUUAAAGAAAGCGUAAUAGCUCACUGGUCGAGUCGGCCUGCGCGGAAGAUGUAACGGGGCUAAACCAUGCACCGAAGCUGCGGCAGCGACGCUUAUGCGUUGUUGGGUAGGGGAGCGUUCUGUAAGCCUGUGAAGGUGGCCUGUGAGGGUUGCUGGAGGUAUCAGAAGUGCGAAUGCUGACAUAAGUAACGAUAAAGCGGGUGAAAAGCCCGCUCGCCGGAAGACCAAGGGUUCCUGUCCAACGUUAAUCGGGGCAGGGUGAGUCGACCCCUAAGGCGAGGCCGAAAGGCGUAGUCGAUGGGAAACGGGUUAAUAUUCCCGUACUUGGUGUUACUGCGAAGGGGGGACGGAGAAGGCUAUGUUGGCCGGGCGACGGUUGUCCCGGUUUAAGCGUGUAGGUGUGUGUUCCAGGUAAAUCCGGUU